GACGAACGCUGGCGGCGUGCCUAAUACAUGCAAGUCGAACGCUUCUUUCCUCCCGAGUGCUUGCACUCAAUUGGAAAGAGGAGUGGCGGACGGGUGAGUAACACGUGGGUAACCUACCCAUCAGAGGGGGAUGACACUUGGAAACAGGUGCUAAUACCGCAUAACAGUUUAUGCCGCAUGGCAUAAGAGUGAAAGGCGCUUUCGGGUGUCGCUGAUGGAUGGACCCGCGGUGCAUUAGCUAGUUGGUGAGGUAACGGCUCACCAAGGCCACGAUGCAUAGCCGACCUGAGAGGGUGAUCGGCCACACUGGGACUGAGACACGGCCCAGACUCCUACGGGAGGCAGCAGUUGGGAAUCUUCGGCAAUGGACGAAAGUCUGACCGAGCAACGCCGCGUGAGUGAAGAAGGUUUUCGGAUCGUAAAACUCUGUUGUUAGAGAAGAACAAGGACGUUAGUAACUGAACGUCCCCUGACGGUAUCUAACCAGAAAGCCACGGCUAACUACGUG
rnacentral:rRNA from 1 species